rnacentral:rRNA from 1 species
GUGGGGAAUUUUGGACAAUGGGGGAAACCCUGAUCCAGCCAUGCCGCGUGGGUGAAGAAGGCCUUCGGGUUGUAAAGCCCUUUCGGCCGGGACGAAAUCGCACGGGUGAAUAUCCCGUGCGGAUGACGGUACCGGAAGAAGAAGCACCGGCUAACUACGUGCCAGCAGCCGCGGUAAUACGUAGGGUGCGAGCGUUAAUCGGAAUUACUGGGCGUAAAGCGUGCGCAGGCGGCCUCUUAAGCCAGAUGUGAAAUCCCCGGGCUUAACCUGGGAACUGCGUUUGGAACUGGGAGGCUAGAGUGUGGCAGAGGGGGGUGGAAUUCCCGGUGUAGCAGUGAAAUGCGUAGAUAUCGGGAGGAACACCAAUGGCGAAGGCAGCCCCCUGGGCUAACACUGACGCUCAUGCACGAAAGCGUGGGGAGCAAACAGGAUUAGAUACCCCUGUAGUCC